CAAUAUUUCAAAUAACAGCAGGAAGCAAUCUACUACAUCAUAUAACAUACAUAAAAAUGUGAUCAGCAUCAAGUUUACAAUUAGAUAACACACAUACAGCCCAAGUGUAUCAGCCCAAGUCUAUCACAGGAGCCCUACAAGUUCUGCUACAUCAUAUAACACACAAAUAGGAUCAGCUCCCAGAACUAGCACACGUACAAGUUCUGCUACAAGGAGUUUGUUACUCCCAGAACUAGCUCAAUGAGGUAAAACUAUGCUUCAUCCAACUUCUUUGUCCUGAAUGAAAUGCCAGCAUCUGCACAUUGUAGAACAAAAUGUUUAGGGACAAAAUAAAAGUAAAUCGAACAGCAAAGUAUCAAAAAAACCAAAGUAUUAAAACUACAGUAAUUUACUCGUAGUUGGCAGGUACACAAUACCAUGGUUUUAAUAUAAAAUACAGAGCAAGUGUUUGGCUACAACAUAGAAUGCUGUAAAAUUUGUUUUAGAAUCCAGGCAUGUCAAAUUUUAAGCACCAGCAGAAUAGAUCUAACAAACCAGACCAUGAUCAUCAUGCGCAUCAGGAUUUAUGGUUCUAGCAAAACAGUAAAGAGAUGGACAUACACGCAUCAAGCAUACCAGCUACUACAUCACCAUUCUCGUGACCACAGACAUCACCAUUCACUAAUAAUUCCCAUUGGGAGAUCAAACUAUGCAUCCAACAAGCUACAGCAACAGGGAAUGCAGAAAAAUUUAUGACCUGAGAUGACGAAUCAACUGGGUACAUCUCAGUUUGAACAACCACGGCGAGACAACAACCGCAUACUAAUGCGGCGAAUCAAAUCUGCACGCAGGAGCAGCGCCGUUCGUGGCAUCCACAUGAGGUCACGCAACAUCAAGAACAUGGCGCAUGACAGCAACAGAC
rnacentral:lncRNA from 1 species